GAUGAACGCUGGCGGCGUGCCUAAUACAUGCAAGUCGAGCGAACGGACGAGAAGCUUGCUUCUCUGAUGUUAGCGGCGGACGGGUGAGUAACACGUGGAUAACCUACUUAUAAGACUGGGAUAACUUCGGGAAACCGGAGCUAAUACUGGAUAAUAUUUUGAACCGCAUGGUUCAAAAGUGAAAGACGGUCUUGCUGUCACUUAUAGAUGGAGCCGCGCUGCAUUAGCUAGUUGGUAAGGUAACGGCUUACCAAGGCAACGAUGCAUAGCCGACCUGAGAGGGUGAUCGGCCGCACUGGAACUGAGACACGGUCCAGACUCCUACGGGAGGCAGCAGUAGGGAAUCUUCCGCAAUGGGCGAAAGCCUGACGGAGCAACGCCGCGUGAGUGAUGAAGGUCUUCGGAUCGUAAAACUCUGUUAUUAGGGAAGAACAUAUGUGUAAGUAACUGUGCACAUCUUGACGGUACCUAAUCAGAAAGCCACGGCUAACUACGUG
rnacentral:rRNA from 1 species